GAGGAAUAUUGGUCAAUGGGCGCGAGCCUGAACCAGCCAAGUAGCGUGAAGGAUGACUGCCCUUUGGGUUGUAAACUCCUUUUAUAAGGGAAUAAGGUGAGGCCCGUGUGCCUUUUUGUUUUUCCUUUAGGAAUAAGCACCGGUAACUUCCGUGCCAGCAGCCGCGGUAAUACGGAGGAUGCAAGCGUUAUCCGGAUUUAUUGGGUUUAAAGGGAGCGUAGGCGGACUAUUAAGUCAGCUGUGAAAGUUUACGGCUCAACCGUGAAAUUGCAGUUGAAACUGGUCGUCUUGAGUGCAGUAAAGGUGGGCGGAAUUCGUGGUGUAGCGGUGAAAUGCUUAGAUAUCACGAAGAACUCCAAUUGCGAAGGCAGCUCACUGGAGUGUAACUGACGCUGAUGCUCGAAAGUGUGGGUAUCAAACA
rnacentral:rRNA from 1 species